rnacentral:rRNA from 1 species
GGGGACUAGAGAGCGGCGUACGGGUGCGUAACACGUGUGCAACCUACCUUUAUCUGGGGGAUAGCCUUUCGAAAGGAAGAUUAAUACCCCAUAAUAUAUUUGAUGGCAUCAUUAGAUAUUGAAAACUCCGGUGGAUAGAGAUGGGCACGCGCAAGAUUAGAUAGUUGGUGAGGUAACGGCUCACCAAGUCUGUGAUCUUUAGGGGGCCUGAGAGGGUGAUCCCCCACACUGGUACUGAGACACGGACCAGACUCCUACGGGAGGCAGCAGUGAGGAAUAUUGGACAAUGGGUGAAAGCCUGAUCCAGCCAUCCCGCGUGAAGGACGACGGCCCUACGGGUUGUAAACUUCUUUUAUAUAGGAAUAAACCCAGAUACGUGUAUUUGGCUGAAGGUACUAUAUGAAUAAGCACCGGCUAACUCCGUGCCAGCAGCCGCGGUAAUACGGAGGGUGCGAGCGUUAUCCGGAUUUAUUGGGUUUAAAGGGUCCGUAGGCGGACCUGUAAGUCAGUGGUGAAAUCUCGCAGCUUAACUGUGAAACUGCCAUUGAUACUGCAGGUCUUGAGUGAAUUUGAGGUAGCUGGAAUAAGUAGUGUAGCGGUGAAAUGCAUAGAUAUUACUUAGAACACCAAUUGCGAAGGCAGGUUACCAAGAUUCAACUGACGCUG